UCUGAGGAGAAUAGAAGGUUUGAUAUGCUGACCAGAGCAAACCCAUAGGGAAGUUUGCUGCCUCCCUGGGGCCCAGCAUUGGUGUGGCUUCACCUUGAGUAUUGUGUGCACCUCUGGGCUCCACAAUGUAAGAAGAAUGUUAAGGUCCUUGGGAGCAUAACCAUGGAACCAUAAACAAUGCUUGUGAAAAGGCUGAAAGCCACAUCUCAUGUGGAGUGCAUGAGGACACUGGGUUUGUCUAGCCUGGAGAAAAGAAGGAUGAGAGACAACCUCACUGGUUUUUACAACUUCAUGAGGAGGGGAAAUGGAAGAGGAAACGUCAGUCCUCACUGGUCACCAAUGGAAGGAGGCACAAAACAGCAGAAAGUUGUGCCAGAGGGAUUCCAACUGAACAUGAGGAAAACCACCUUCACUGAGAAGGUGGUCAAACACAAACAGCUUCCCAAGGGUUGAUGUCCCAUGCCUGUUAGUGCUCAAAAGGAAUUUGGACAAUGCUUUCAGUGGCACGCUUUCCCUCCAACAAAACUGGUCUAUUCCAUGCACUGUUCAGAUAAAUGAAAUUUCAGUAAAACAUUUUAAAAUCUUCAGCUCUUGGA